UUUGUUUCUCUCUUUUUAGAGAGAGAAGCUCUGAACUCUCUCUAGAAUUCCCUCACCGGAGGGAAUUCCGACCACCGUCGCCGUCGUUCUCCAGCGUCGAUCGCCACCGCCGGCCACCACAAACGGUGAUCGGAAAACGUGAAAACUACCUUAAAUCGUAGAUCACACAACCCUAAAGCCAAUCUAGCUUCUAUUUCUUUUAAAAAAUCAUAAACUUUCUUAGAUCUAAAUUUAUACCUUCGACGAUUUAAGUCUCUGAUGAGGCGUAAAGACUCCAACCACUGUCGAUAAGUAUUCUCGAUCUCUUUUCUUCUUUCGGUUUAAUGUUUGGCUGCUAUGGUUUUUUUGUGUGCUUGUUUGCCCUCCUCCCCCUUGUCUUUGCAGGUUCGGUGACCUUUUAUAGGCCACCAAGAAGCUGCCUUCAGUUCGAUGGUCCCUCGGUGAGUCACCACGGCUAGUGUAGAUCUUCUGGAAGCAUCGAUGUCGUGGCAACAAAUGACUGGGGAACAUAACGACGUAGUGGUUGGCGUAGAAGCGACGGAGUGGUUGGCGUAGAAGCGGCGGAGUAGUUGGAGGGACAUGGCGGCGCCGAAAUCUCCCUAGGGUUGGUGAACCCUAGGGUUUCUACUGUGCUUAAUCUGGACCGUUGGAUCAUGUCAGAUCCAAUGACUGAUAAAACUGGCGGUUGGAGAAGAUGCUAGAAACCCUAAUCAGGUUUGGAUCCUGCUGAGUGGUCUAGGUCAGCAAAGUUGCACUGAAUUGAAUCCAAGUUGGGCAAGUUGCAGCAACGCUUUGGUCACGAAGAUAGGUUCCGAGUUGCAGGAGGCAAAGAAAAGCAUUAAGUUUUGGGUUUGGCUGGAUUCACCAACAGCUAAAAGGAACGAGUUCACCCUGGCAAGUGGAUGUUUAAUUGUUAGUGUUUUUGGUUAGGACCAUACCAGGGUGUCUCGUCAUCAUUCUUGUCUCUCCUGGACAAACACGUCAAACGUGUGGCCCCCCGAAAGAUACUUAUAAUGAAACAUCCUCAUCCUGUUUAAUCUUAUGUACAUCUUUUAUGUAUCUACGUCUAGAUGGAUAAGACUUGGCGAAUAGUAAUAUUACAUUGUUGUUAACAAUUGAAGAUUGAAAAUCCAGAUUCAAGUUCUAGUUUCCAGGGGGCCAAAGCAAGCGUGAAUUUGGAUUCACCGAUCAGAGUUGAGUGAUGGCUUUUCCACAAGUUAAAAAUAUGACUUCAUUUUGGAUCCGAGCGAGGCCGCUUAACCUUGGAAGAUCGAAACUACACUGCAUGCUUUCAAGGAAUGCCCAUUUGCUAAAGAGGUAUUACUGCUUUCUGGACUGGAUCGUAAUCAUGUUGAAGCACCAGCCAUCUCCUGUAAGAACUGUUUUGAUGGUGUCGCAGCCUCACUCGAUAGAGAGGCUCUUGCGAAGUUCACUAUCCUUCUUUGGAACAUCUGAAAUCAGUGGAAUAAAUGGGUUCAUGACAAGGAAUCACUAACCGCAGGGGAGGUGGUCAAUGCCGCAUGGCUGAUCGAAAGUGAGUUUCAAGAGGCUACUGGACUGUAUUUUGUUCAACGGUUUCACAAAGGACCACAUAAACGAUGGAGGGGGAGAUCAAAAUCAAUGUUGAUGCUCCUAUUGGAGUGGUGGCUAGAGACUACCACGGGCUGGUGGUCGGAAGGGUCGCUCCUAAAAGGAACUCACAUCGUCGAAUCCUCCGAGGUUGCUGCCUUCAUCGAAGGAAUACGUUUCGCUGUCGAAAAUGGAUGGGAUCAAGUGAUCAUUAAGAGUGAUGCUGUCUCUGUUGUCAACAUUUCAGUAAUCGGCUUGAUGCUCAACGAGGCAUGCACAACUCUCCGCAUAUCACUGUCAGAGUGCAUUAUGCCAAACUUGAGGCCAAUCGAAUUGCUCAUAAUCUUGUUUAAUGAACCUAGUCGAGAGUCGAUCCUUUUUUGUUCCUCUUGGAUGA